rnacentral:lncRNA from 1 species
GCCGGGGCAAGAGUUCUAGAGCAUCAUCAAGAAAAACAAUCAGUAGAAGCCCUGUAAGAUCGUCAAGAAAGAGCAUAAGUCGCAGUCCAAUUAGAUUGCCUUCAAGAAGCGUAAGCAGAAGCCCUGUAAGAGUGUCAAGAAAGAGUGUAAGUCGUAGUCCAAUUAGAUCACCUGCAAGGAGCUUAAGCAGAAGCCCUGUAAGAGUGUCAAGAAAGAGUGUAAGUCGUAGUCCAGUUAGAUCACGGGUAAGAAGCUUAAGCAGAAGCCCUGUGAGAGUGUCAAGAAAGAGUGUAAGUCGUAGUCCAGUUAGAUCACGGGUAAGAAGCUUAAGCAGAAGCUCUGGUAGGGUCCCUUCGAAGAGAAGCAACAGCAGAAGUCCUGUCAGAGCACCUAGUAGAAGCAAUCGCCGCAGUU